rnacentral:rRNA from 1 species
CUACGGGGCGCUCCAGUGGGGAAUAUUGGACAAUGGGGGGAACCCUGAUCCAGCCAUGCCGCGUGUGUGAAGAAGGCCUUUUGGUUGUAAAGCACUUUAAGCAGUGAAGAAGACUCUUCGGUUAAUAUCCGGGGACGAUGACGUUAGCUGCAGAAUAAGCACCGGCUAACUCUGUGCCAGCAGCCGCGGUAAUACAGAGGGUGCAAGCGUUAAUCGGAAUUACUGGGCGUAAAGCGAGCGUAGGUGGCUUGAUAAGUCAGAUGUGAAAUCCCCGGGCUUAACCUGGGAACUGCAUCUGAAACUGUUAGGCUAGAGUAGGUGAGAGGGAAGUAGAAUUUCAGGUGUAGCGGUGACAUGCGUAGAGAUCUGAAGGAAUACCGAUGGCGAAGGCAGCUUCCUGGCAUCAUACUGACGCUGAGGUGCGAAAGCGUGGGGAGCAAACAGGAUUAGAUACCCCUGUAGUC